CCACACAGACAUCUUCCAGAAAAAGAGGAUGUGACUCUAAAAACACAUACGUUGUUCUCGUACUCACUGCUGCUAUUAUUGGGUCCCUGACUGACAAGGAAGGAAGAUGGCAUGAAACUUAUGCAAAAUUAGAAAACCUCUUGUGACACUUGGCACCCAUGGUCUGUGCUCUGGUAUGAUGUUGUGAGCCACCUGCUCAUGGAGGUGGGACGCUGGGCACAGUGUGAGUAAUUGGCUGCCUUGGGUUAUGAAGCCAGUCAGAAGCAGGGACAGGACUCAGACCUCACUUCAGAGAAGAGAGCUGAGCUGAGCAUGAGACUCACCCGGUGCGAUACAUCCUAUGAUGGAGGAGCUGAGUUUACUUUUUGCCUGGCUGGUUCUUCUCGUUGUUUCUUCUUUUCACUUACAUCCAUGUGAAGGACACAUAUAUCUCCAUCCUUCUCCCCACAGCCGAGUGGAACUAUGACAGGGCCCAAACCAAAGCUGUGCGAGGAGCUGUAAGAGGCCCGGGCAUCCCAGGAUUUCCUCCAGCUGGGGGGCACCUGGGUUCUGGAACGGUCUUAGGUGGAGACUAUGGGAAGUCAUCAGAGCGCUCAAACAUGCUGCUGCAGCCGACCUGCCAGGAGACGGCGCGUCUGACCCUGACACUCAAUUAGCAGAACAGACGGUGUAUAACGUGGAGUGUGCACUUCUACAGCAACACUGCAUGCUAUCACCGAGAUGCUGCUGCUGCAUCUAAGAGUGAGAAACCACAGCACAUCAGCAGGGCCAGCAAGACCCCGUGAAAUCUGUGAUAAACUGCCUUCCCUCAAAUGGGACCCUGGCACCCAGCCCAGAGGCCUGAUGACCCUCUGCUCCAGACAUCUUCCAGCUGCCACUCUCCUCUGGGAGACAGCACCAAGGAUGGCCCUGGGCAUCUUCUUCAUGACUGUCAAGGUCUACCCUGACCCCACUCCCUGUCAUGCUGUGUUCAGAUGACUGGGUCCUGUCUGAGUCACCUCACCCUUGUUCUGGCCAGUUACGCUUCCUGGCAGCACUUGAACCAGCUCUCCACACCCACUUAGCUCCUGAGAGACAUUGGUAUCCUGCUUUGUUCAGGUUCAUGUGCCUUCCUGAACUGGGAGACUGGCCCCAUCUGCCUACCCAGGGGCAGAAGAAUAAUCUUAAAUGACAGGCAACCCAACUAAAACUCCCCACAAUCUGCCUCUAGUAGGGGCCACUUCAAGAACUGUGCAAGUCCCUUCAAGCUGUGCCUCUGAGGCCACCCCCAGCCUUUUCACUCUCCUAGACCCAGUCUCGUCUCCACCAGUUGUUUUAGCCUUCUGUGUUUCACCGCCUGCCCCUGUUGCCUGAACUGACUUCAAAUGUUAUGUGGUAACUAUGUGCAGGGCAAUUGCUUCCUUGAAAUUAUGUUCAUAUUCCCCUAUUUCUGUGGCCUCUCCUAGAGGGUCACUGUGUUGCCCAGCUCCAAGAGACUGUCCAUGCUGCAUCCUUCCAGAACGGGAAUGCUUGACAUGGCCCAGGCCUGCUAUCCCACUUGCCCAAGUCACUAAAGUCACAAAGCAAUGGUUUCCAUGGAUCCAUCCAGAGUGGACCUAAACCUAGAGAGAAGAGACAGUUAAGCACGAAGAGAAAAUUAAGUACGAGGAGGUCAAGAGCUUGUCCGAAGCUGUACAAUCAAGGAAGCUGCAGGAUGAAGGAGAGGAGAGAGACUCCAGGAAGACUUCAAAGGCCAACUGAGAUGACGUGUUGAGUGGUGGGAAAGGCAGGGAGCUGUCAAGAGUGAUUCCCCCGGAGUCCAGGGGAUGGGUUUACUAAAAAAAAAUAGGAAAAUUAACUUACAGGGGAAAAAACAUUAAGUAUAGGAGGAAAAAGAUAAUGAGUUCAGUUUGGACCCUGAGUGUGAGGUGUACAUGGGACUGGAAGGCAAUAAUUACAUACAGGUAAGAUACGGCGAAGCUCAGAGGCAUGGCCUGGAGGAGAGGAGACCGGGCAUGGUGCUCACAGACCUGGCAGCUUGGUUCUCGGAGAACUGUGUGUGUCCAGAUGCUGAAAACAGCUCUGUGCAAGGAACUGUAAUCAGGAAAAUGAUUCUAGUUCCCAGCUUUCAACUUGUGGGAGAUGCCUCAAAAUAUAAAGGCGCAGGCUGAGCCUACUGUAUUCCCAACAUCAUGGGCCACCUCCCCAGCCAAGAAACUAUUGAAUGAGCUUAAAAGAAGUAUAAAUAAAAACAACCUCUGGUGGAAUUGCCUGAAGCAGGGGUGGAGGCCUGCGUGACCCCCAGCUGCAAAGAAGCUAUUUCUGGUCCCCCUUGGGCUGGGCCAUCACAGAGCAAGACAAGGCAUGUUUAGAAAGCAAAAGCAGCUGACAACACGGGCUCUGAUUAAAGUCUGUGGGUAUAAAUCCUGCUGUGUCAACGGCCUCGUCUGACAAACUUGAUACACUCUUGGUUCAGCAGCGAUGCGUGAUUGCUGCUUUCGGUCUUAACAAACCCAGAGGAGUUAAAGUCAGCUUAGUUUGUUGAAGAUGGAAGCAGCCAUUGAGGUUUGAAAUAAGAUUUGAGCAGAGUCCUCCUGAAUGGCCAUGGGCCUUCUAGCGAAAUCCUUGCAAGUGGGGCAUGUGGACUGAGAGGAGAGGUGGAUCCAGGAGGGUGCCCAGAUGAGAGGCAGGGUUCCAAAGACUGGCAGAGGCAGGAAAGCCUAAAAGGAAGGGGCAGCCACACAGAAAGGAUGGACAAAGCAGACGUGACGUCAGAGAGGAAGGAAGCAGGAACACAGCAGUCCUGGACAGCAGGCUGAACCGUGGAGAGGCAACUGUGACCUUAUCAGCCCCAGGAGCUUGAUUAGAGGGCAAUGAGCAGAGGCACACAGAGAAAGGAGGUGGGAAGAGAUUGCCAACUGUUAAACUGGGAUAAUACGAAAGGGAAAGACAUUCAAAAGCUGCUGGGGAGAGCAGUGUUAGGAAGGAUGGUUUCAGGGAAGUGAAUUCAUUUCUAGAGCUGCUCCAGCCAAUUUCCCCAAACUGGGUGGCUUAAAACAAUGGAAAUGUGUGCUCCCACAGAUCUGGAGGCCAGCAGUGCAACACCAAGGUGUUGGCAGAGCUAGACUCCCUCCACGGACUCUGAGGGAAGUCCUGAUUCCUGCCUCUUCCCGGGUCUGGGGGCUGUAGGUGCACCUCGAUUUGUGGUUGCUUCCCUCCCAUGCUGUGAAGCUCACUUUAUGUGCCAACGUCCCUGAGUCAUGGCCUGCCCAGGUAUGGGCCUGAACGUUCUUCCUGGGUGUAUCUGGGAAGGUAUUUCCAGGUGGGAUUGGCAUUCAAACUGAGCGAAGCAGAUCCUCCUCCCCAGUGCGGGUGGGCCUCGUCCAGUCCUCUGAGGACUGCAAGGGAACAGAGAAGCGGAAGAAGAGAGAACCACUCUGACUGACUGCUCCCGCUGGGAUGUGGAUCUUCCCCUGCCCUCGACCAGGACUUCCUCCAUCGGCUCUCCUCAUCCUCAGGCCUUGUGACUUAAGUGGAACCACGCCGACGGCUUUUCUGGCUGUCGCCUGGCAGGCCACAGAUUGUGAAAAACCUCUCAGCCUCCAUGAUCAAGUUAAUGGACGCUUCGUCAUGAGUCUCUCUCUCAAUCUCUCUGUCUCUCGACAUAUAGUAUCAUAUAUCUAUACAUAUGUAAUCACAUAUACAUGCAUAGUAACAUCUAUAUGUAUUUUAUAUGUAUGGAAUCCUGAAUAGUACAA